UUCCUCAUAGCUCAGUUGGUAAAGAAUCUGCCUAUAAUGCAGGAGACCCAGGUUCAAUUCCUGUGUGGGAA
rnacentral:tRNA from 1 species